UGAUUGUAGGCAGGUGGGGUGGUGAUAUUGCUGAGCCCUUGCGCUCUUUAAAUCAUUGAGUAAUUGAGGUUCGUCGACAGACAAAGCACAAUAUUUUUGGACAUCACGAUCUUCUUCAUUAUCAAAGGAGAAGAAGAAGAAAAAGAAGAGGGAAACGGGAAGAAUUUCACUGUUCUUCAAGUCAGCACGGGUGGGUGAUGUUCGAUUUGAACAGAAAUCGAGUAAAUUGAUCAUCCCAGUUAUUCAAGUUUGGCCAGUGCAGUCCGUUUGCAUACCUGAAGGUUCUAAUACUAGCAAAGAGUUUUGUGACAGCAAUGAGGAGGAGAGUGGUGCCUUCCAUUAUUAUCUAUCAAGCAACAUACUAUCUCCUUGGAGGUCACUGACAGCAAAGGGAUCUUCAUUUUAAGAGGCAGAGUUAGAUAAGGAAUAGGGGUUGAAUUUGGAGCUGCAGUCAUACUUUGACAGUUCUUUCAGAGGCUGGAAGAAGAGGAGGGGAGAGGCAGAAAGUAAGCAACUGCAAAUGAGAUCCAACAAG